rnacentral:rRNA from 1 species
AAGCGGUGGAUGAUGUGGUUUAAUUCGAUGCAACGCGAAAACCUUACCUACCCUUGACAUGUACGGAACUUGCCAGAGAUGGCUUGGUGCUCGAAAGAGAGCCGUAACACAGGUGCUGCAUGGCUGUCGUCAGCUCGUGUCGUGAGAUGUUGGGUUAAGUCCCGCAACGAGCGCAACCCUUGUCAUUAGUUGCUACGAAAGGGCACUCUAAUGAGACUGCCGGUGACAAACCGGAGGAAGGUGGGGAUGACGUCAAGUCCUCAUGGCCCUUAUGGGUAGGGCUACACACGUCAUACAAUGGCCGGUACAAAGGGCAGCCAACCCGCGAGGGGGAGCCAAUCCCGUAAAGCCGGUCGUAGUCCGGAUCGCAGUCUGCAACUCGACUGCGUGAAGUCGGAAUCGCUAGUAAUCGUGGAUCAGCAUGUCACGGUGAAUACGUUCCCGGGUCUU